GUGGGGACAGGGACGGGCGGGAGCGUGAGGCCUGACCCGACCCUCCGUCGAGGUCCCGCUGUCCCCGUGUUGGACCAGAGGAGGACUCAGUACAGGGAGUCCCCGACCGAGCUCGCUGCGCGUCUCCGCCUGUCUCCCCCCUCCUCCCCGAAAUGUGCUAAAUCGAUGGAGAAACAAAGAACCUUUCCCACAACGCAGAGAUUCUGGCAAGCAGGAUCCAGGGCGCAGGAAAAUGGUGCUUCCCCCUAGCGUGGCAGGAACGACAAAUACCUUCGUGCGCCUGCGAGGAUCUGGAACCAGGACGAGAGGGCAGUGGCUCUCUGAUCAGCUCUGCCAGAAGCUUCGGCCUCCAGCUUGGCUUCCUGUAGCUGCUGGGCCCCGGUUACUAGGCAGUUAGAUUUUGGUAGGCCUGAAGGAGGAAGGAGGGGUCCAAAAUAGCAUUGCAGGUUAGGAAAGACGUCAAUAUGCAAGAGAUAAUCAUGCAUUCGUGCUCAGACCCACAGCGACCCCACAGAGCACAGUGACAUCUUAAGGUUACAUACCAUGUCCUUCCUUCUGUCGAUGAUUUGGGGGAGAAGGUGAAUGUUUUGUUUUGAUUGAGUUUGUUUGGGGUUUUUGUGUCGUGUUGUGUUUUGUUUGAGACAGUCUCCUUCCUACUUCAGGCUGGGCUCGAACUCACAGUAUAACCCAGGUUAGCCUCAAAUUCAGAGGCUAUAGGGCUGGGGAUUUAGCUCAGCGGCAUAAGCGCCUGCCUUGCAAGCAGGCGGUCGUGAGUUCGAUCCCUGGUACCGAUAAAAAUGAAAAAGACAAAAAAAAAAAUAAAUAAAUAAAAAAAAUAAAUUCAGAGGCUAUUCAAAACCUUCAUUUAAACAAUUUAUUUUUGGGGGCUGGGGAUUUGGCUCAGCGUCAUAAGCGCCUGCCUUGCAAGCAGGCAGUCAUGAGUUCGAUCCCUGGUACCAAUAAAAACGAAAAAGACCAAAAAAAAAAAAAAAAAAACCCUCUAUUUUUUGCUGUAAUCCUCGCUAAGACAGGAGGAUCGCUGUGAACUUGAGGCCAGCCUGGGAUAUAUAGUGAGACCCUUCCUCAAAAAAAUCCAAAAAUAAAUAAAUACAUAAAUAACUUUUGAGACAGGGGUUCUGAUGAAGUGAGGAAUGGGACCCUCAGUUCCUUGGUCCUUGGUUCUUUGUGGCCUUGAUGAAAAAAUUCAGUCAACCUGUGAGCUCAUCACUUGGGAGGAUGAGGCAGGAGCAUUGCUGUGAGUUAAACCCAGUCUGGGAAACAUAAGGAGACCCUGUCCUAAAGGCCAAUUCAUUAAAAUUGAGGUAAAAUUCAUGUAAAUUAAUUGUGUAAAAGUAGAUGACCCUGGGGUUUAAAACAUUCACAGACCUUGUUUUUUUUAAAUGAUUCUAAUGGAACCACAAUGCGGGGCCAUGUCUCAGGUGAGAAAGAAUGAGAUCGUGGACAGAGGAGGUGGGGAGCAAGAGAACUUGUGUAAAAUACAAGGGCUGGAAGGGAGAGUUCCUGCCAGCCAGGAGGGGUCCUGAGCAGGACACCCACAGGGCUCUGUGCCUGGGUGUUAGGGAUUUUAUUGUUUUAGUCUGGUUUUGGUUUUGGUUUUUGUUUUGAGGCAGGGUCUCGAUAUGAAGCCCAGGCUGGCCCUGAACUCAACAAUCCUCCUGCCUCAGCCUCCCGAGUGCUGGGAUUACAGAUAUGUGUCAUCAUACCCAGUACUCUCAGGUUCACUCAGUUCCCAUGUGGGGUCCAUGCACCCUCGAGCCCACAGUCAUCUGACCACACGCCAGAGAAGCCCCUAAGAUACCUUCAGGGCCUGCUCCUCGGACUCCCCUGUGGGCCACUUAAGGAACCUGCCUGAUGCAACCCUGAUUCCUGGCCACUAACGGCUGUCUCACUAAGUCAUCAUUUCUCAUAGGAAAUGGCAGGAACGCUAUGGGGUGUGUGUGUGUGUGCACGCGCUGUGGAACCUGGUAAAUUGUACCUAAUCCAAUGUAUGUCAUUAGUGCCCUGAGUCCAUCCACAGCCAUGUCCAAGCUAGGCACGGUUCUCACCUGUACCCAGGAGGCGGCCUCUUCCCCUCCCAGCCCUACCACAACUCUCCUUCCUGUCCCUACAAUGGACACUUCAAACCACGGAAUCCCAAACAUGGGACCUUUGUAUCAAGCUCAGCAAUGCCCACACUCAAGCCCAUGUCCACUUUAGAACUUUGCAUUCACUCUGCACCCCCACCUCCCACUAGGGCACACUUCCCUCGACCCACCCUCGGGGCUGCCACUGAGAUGCCUUCAAAUCUCUGUGUGAUGAGUCUCCACAGGCACCCUACUGAAAACUAGAACCCAGCGCCGGGCCACAGCUAAGGAACAGAGCACUUGCCUAGGGAGCCCUUGUGGUCUGUCUGGCAACAGGAAAAACACACACAAAACUAAACUGAUCUGGGCAUGGGGGCGCAUACCUGCAAUCCCAGCACUUGGGACACUGAGGCAGGAGGAUCACCGUGAAUCUGAGGCCAGUCUGGGCCACAUAAGUGCAUUGUUCAAGGUCAGCAUAGUGACAACUGCAUAGCGAGACCCUGUCUCAAAAAAAGUCACACAGAGAUGCUUAUAUUAAAGGAUGCAACUGUGAGUGCCAUUAAUUUUCACAAAAAUCCUGUAGAAAAGCUUAGGUCCCUUAUCUGAGUAUUAACAGACUUUUGAAACAAUUGAAUUAUGUAAAACUAUGUGGAACAGGAAAGCAGGCCAUGUCAUUUGUCAGCACCAAGCAAAGUCUUAUCCUCCUGUCUGCGUGAUAAGGCACAUUAUCUCUUUCCAGCAAGUGUCACGGUUUAGAAUUCAGGCAUGUUGGGGCUGAAGUGGUAUCCAUUGCAUUUUCCUGUCCAGAUUUUUACCCUUAAAGGGAAAAGAUAUAUUUCAGAUUCUAAAUUAUUCUAGGUUUUUUGCCAGGUGUGGUGGCACAUCCCUGUAAUCCCAGCACUGAGGAGGCUGAGGCGGUAGGAUCAUUUUGAGUCUGAGGCCAGCUUGGGCUACAUAGUGAAUUCAAAACCAGCCUGAACUUCAAUGUGUGGCCCUGUCUCUAAAAAAGUGGUUUUUAGUUUGCUUGUUUUGGUAUCAGGAAUCGAACGGGGACCUUGAGCUUGCCAGGCAGGUGCUGAGCUGUAUCCCUGGCAAUUUUUUUUUUAUUGGUACCAAAGAUCAAGCUCACGACCACACACUUGCAAGGCAGGCACUUAGGAUGCUGAGCUAAAUCCCCAGCCCUGUUUUGUUUUUAAUAUAACGAGGUGAACAGGUCUUAAACACCUCAGUGAAUUCUUCCUGUGCAUCACACCAUGUAUGCUCCGGGUGAAGACGCUGAUCAUUUCCUUCAGCUCCUCCAUGGCAUACCCUAUGGUGACUUGCCUGGAGAUGGAGCCAUGCAUACUGUUUAGGACAGGUUCUUGCUGUUCACAUAACACCUAUGACGGGCAGAUGUUGUAGUCAGGGUCCAGAAGGGAAAACAUUUAAUAAGGGACACAUAAUUUAUAGGAUUAUUUUACAAUAUUCACCCAAAGAGGCAAAUGCAUGUGAGUGCCGGAGAUCUGUCCACACACUGGAGAUCCAAGGAAUCCAGCUGGCAGCCUAAAGCCCAGGGCCAUGGCUCAUGCAAGUCUGUAUCACGGAUCUGCACUGGGAAGGCCCAAAGAUCAGUGGGAUCUUUGGGAAGCUAGAAAGUCUGCACUGGAGCCAGGAAGAGACACUCAAGGUAAGGGCCAGAGCUCCCCUAAAGAGAGCCACAGCCACCCUUAGUGACAGCAGGGACCCAAGCUCCAAGCAUAGUUAUAAGAACACAUUUAUCAGGUAGUGUUGUACUCUAAGAAAAUACCUUCAUUAUUUUGUGUAUUAUAGCAAACCUGCAACGUGGCUUACUAAAUGUGUUUUUUAUCCUUUUUCCCUAACUGAUAUGUUAAGUGAUCUAAUUGAUAUGUUGAGCAAUACUCUCCUCUGUAAAGAAUUGCAAGAAUCUCACCUAAUUGAUAUGUUAACCAUUGUUGCCCUCUACAAACUACAGAAGUUGUGCUAAAACAAGCUAACAAGGGUUGUUAAUCACUGUUAGGCGCCUCUAUUCUCUGCUAAAGAGCUAAAGAAAACUAGGAUGGCCCACUAAUUUACACUUGUUUGAAGUAACUUGCUUGUGUGCAGAGAGAUUUGUGUAUGAGUUUAACCCUUUACCUGACCUUGACACAUAACCGCCGUUUUCUGUUCUGUAUGGCACCUUAUUGCCUCCCUCUCCCCUCACCUAUCUAUCUAGGCCAUAAAGAAUUUGGGUUUCUGGUGACCUCUUCCCGACCAGGUGAUGAUCUGUCAUAAAAUGAGCCUGCCCCAAUUUUAAGAACUGUUUAGCUUCAAAGAAAUUACCGGGAAAUACUAUGGCCCAAACCCCAAUCGGUGCUUUCCUUUUGUUCUGUAUGCAUCAAAUGAGUUAGAUAUCAGAUCUUUGUAAAACUUAAGUUUCAGCUUCUUGUAACUCUUGACCCCUUCACGCCCACUAGCGAAAACGAGCUGUCCUGGGAUAAUUAACUCUCCACUUUCUUCUCCAAAUAUUGCUGCAGAUGUGCCACUCCGAGAUAAUGUCAGUCUGUAGGAUGGGAGUAAUUUGAGAAACACCAUUGUCAGAGCUAAGUGGACAGCAAUACAGUUUCCAGACUUGGGUCAACAAGUUUGAUGGCUCUGCAGGUUUCUUUGUUUCUCCCCCCACCCUUUUCCUCCAGCCUCUUUUUAAAGUCCUCCCUUCAGUCUCUGGGGCACAGUCUCCAAAUUGGCUCCCGGAGACUCAUCGCCAGGCCUGGAAAUAAAGCCUUUGCUACCUAAA